CUCGUAGGCGGUUCGUCGCGUCCGGUGUGAAGGUCCAUCGCCUAACGGUGGAUCUGCGCCGGGUACGGGCGGGCUGGAGUGCGGUAGGGGAGACUGGAAUUCCCGGUGUAACGGUGGAAUGUGUAGAUAUCGGGAGGAACACCGGUGGCGAAGGCGGCCCUCUGGGCCGAGACCGACGCUGAGGCGCGAAAGCUGGGGGAGCGAACA
rnacentral:rRNA from 1 species